CCAGUGUGAGUAUACAGGUCAAGACACAAGAAAUGCACUCUGUUAAUUUCAGGAAACACAGGAAGCUUCAAAAGUUGUUAAAGAGGAUUGUGUUCUACAGCGUUAUUUUUGUCAGGUACUUCACGAAACAUUCAUCUACAGUACAUCAUAAUUCCACUUAUUUUCAUGUCUAUCGAAUCCUUGAGCUCCCUGAACUCUGAGCCAAGAAGCAUGCCAGUUAAGACGCCUCCUGGGAAUUUGACCUGAGACUACCAACUCAUUUCAGGAAACUCCUGGAAACACCUAAGGAACAAAGACUGAACUGGGGGAAGUGCUGGACCCAGGCUAAAGGGAUUUUUAGCCUGUGAAUGGAACACCUGGGGAUUCCAAGCUGUAAGCAAAUGCAGCUUGCCCCUUAAGAAUCUGCAGCCUGUUUGUAUCAUCACUUAGACCCUGCAAGGGGUGGACUUCCACAGGACUCAUUCAGAGGGCUGACUCUCCAAGAGCUGGAUCCAUGGGGUUUACUGCCUGGAUACUGAGGACCAGAGGCUGGGCAUUUGAAUGACUGAAGCCUUGUCUACAUGGGGACUGUGACUGAAAGCACCCCAGUAUUCACCCCAAUGCACCAUUAUAAUAAUCUUUGUACAAAAUAUGCCUUGUGAGAUAUCAUCUGAAAAGUAAUAACUUGCUGGUCAAUAUUAUCACGGUGAAAUGUAUGUAGCAAUAUUAUAUGUAAAGUUAUGAAUUCCCCUGUAUGAUGAUAUUAGCACAUGUUCAAACCCACACAGUCCUGACUAGUCAAAGUUGUUAAGUAGGUCUAUCCUAAACAAAGGAAUGUGUAUUUAUCUCAAUUUACAUAGAAGUAGUAAACAGACUGCUUGAGACUGCAAGAGGGGGAAAUGGCAGGAGACAAGGCAAAUCUGCAUUUCAGCAUACAGGGGGGAGAAGAAAGAGCAUGGAACCACCUUUACCACCAGGAUCCACUUCACCUUCUUUACUGUUUGAAUAAAUUUUUGCUUUGAAAGGUAAUCCUCAGAAUCAUCCGCUUCCAAGGGUGAUUGGACUAUGAAAGUGAGAGGCAAAAAGACCCCAAAGCAUCUCUCUCUCUCUCUCUCUCUCCUACCUAAGAAGACAAAGGAACCCUCCCUUUGACCGUGGGAGGAUCCUGACCUGAGAAUUUGAUCAGCAAUGUUGCUGGGAAUAUGUGAAUGAUUAAAAGAAGAAAGACAAUGAAGCUGAUUCCCUGGAGAAUGAAUGGGAUCCUGUCAACAUGUCAGGAAGCCACAUGCUAAGAUACCUCCCACCCCCCAAAAAAGACCAUAAAAUUAAGCAGCUCUAUAUCUAUGAAGCCCUGAGUGAUUUUGAGAAAGGCAUUUGGUUAAAACUGUUUUCCACACUCCAUCUUCUUCUGUAGGUAAAUUAAGGGCCAGAUUGUGAACCUGUUGCUCACCUCAAUAAGCAGUUUCUGACAAAAGUAAUUCCAUUGAUGUCAAUGCAAUUGCUUGUGAAGUGUUCACAGUCUGGUCCUAGAUUUUGAUUAUAAUGAGUUUAGCAGUUCCUCAUCUUACUUGAUCUAGCUAAUUUGUAUAGUGUUGUAAUUUUUCAGUAUAUUAACUCCCCAAUUAGCCAAUCAACGGGGAAAAAAGAUAUUUUAUAAAUCCCCAAAAUGAUUAAUUCCAUUGUGUGAAAUGUAAAGAGAUUUUUAGAACUAUUACUCAAAACAUAACCAAUAAAUGGUUUAUUUGAGUUGGACCACAACUGCCCAGAAAUAUAAAUCUACUUCUUUAUCAAUGGAUGGAAUGGCUGAAAGGGGAGUUGUGAAGGUUGGGAAGAUGUACUACUUAUUUGCACAUGUGAGACACAAAUUUCAGACAUGUUUGUACCUGAAUACUUGGAUGCUAAUAUCUAAACUGUAUUCUUAAAUGUAUUCACCCAAAUUUGGGUUAUUGCUGAUUAUGUACUAUAUGUAUCUUAUGACUUUAAAAACAAACUUUGUAUUUGUGGAUAAACUAAGCACUAUGCCCAGAUGUACAGACACUAUUUUCUUAACCUGUGCACUAUAUAUUUUUUUAACAUUAGCUUUAAUGGGAGAGAAUUACAAGAACAUUAAGUGAUUUACUGACAGUGUUCCAAACUUCCCAGUACACGCCUUCAUUUAAGUAUUCCCAUUAAUUUGGUUACUUUUUUUAGAACAAUCUAUUUAUCAUUGAUGUUAAAUAGUAAUAACACAGCUGAGUGGUAUGAAAACUACGCUGUGUUGUUCAGAACUAUGCAUAAUAUGUUGUAACACCUAAUUGUCUGUGCAUGGGUGUAACAACCGAUAAAAUACAGAUAUAGACACCUUUUGACAAUAUUUGUAUUGCCAUUUAAUACUUCAACUGUUCCAUUAAAUGCAAAAUCAUUAGAACUUUUCAGGGCUCAGUCUUUCUAUUCUUCCUCUGUCCCAAAGGAGUUGGCACAAAUAUUUUCUGAAAGCCAUUGCUCAGCAUGGUGUGUAGACUCCAAAGUGUCUAUUCAGAUCUAUCUGUGGUUUUAUACCACACUCAUCACCGUGGUAUCAAAGUCAGCGACCGAAUAACCAAAUCUGUCACUGCGACAGGCAUGUGCUUUUCUACAUGCUGUGCCCCAGCUUUAUCUUCCAGGAUGGUUUAGGUGAAAUAUAUUGAAACACAAUAGCUCAGAGUCCUUUUACAUUUUAUCAGAAGAAAAGAUUUCCACGUUGGUGCUAAAGCUGU